AUUGAACGCUGGCGGCAGGCCUAACACAUGCAAGUCGAGCGGUAACACAGAGGAGCUUGCUCCUUGGGUGACGAGCGGCGGACGGGUGAGUAAUGCCUGGGGAUCUGCCCGAUAGAGGGGGAUAACUACGGGAAACUGUAGCUAAUAACCGCAUAAUGUCUACGGACCAAAGUGGGGGCUCUUCGGACCUCAUGCUAUCGGAUGAACCCAGGUGGGAUUAGCUAGUUGGUGAGGUAAUGGCUCA
rnacentral:rRNA from 1 species